AAAUUGAAGAGUUUGAUCAUGGCUCAGAUUGAACGCUGGCGGCAGGCCUAACACAUGCAAGUCGAACGGUAACAGAAAGCAGCUUGCUGCUUUGCUGACGAGUGGCGGACGGGUGAGUAAUGUCUGGGAAACUGCCUGAUGGAGGGGGAUAACUACUGGAAACGGUAGCUAAUACCGCAUAACGUCGCAAGACCAAAGAGGGGGACCUUAGGGCCUCUUGCCAUCGGAUGUGCCCAGAUGGGAUUAGCUAGUAGGUGGGGUAACGGCUCACCUAGGCGACGAUCCCUAGCUGGUCUGAGAGGAUGACCAGCCACACUGGAACUGAGACACGGUCCAGACUCCUACGGGAGGCAGCAGUGGGGAAUAUUGCACAAUGGGCGCAAGCCUGAUGCAGCCAUGCCGCGUGUAUGAAGAAGGCCUUCGGGUUGUAAAGUACUUUCAGCGGGGAGGAAGGGAGUAAAGUUAAUACCUUUGCUCAUUGACGUUACCCGCAGAAGAAGCACCGGCUAACUCCGUGCCAGCAGCCGCGGUAAUACGGAGGGUGCAAGCGUUAAUCGGAAUUACUGGGCGUAAAGCGCACGCAGGCGGUUUGUUAAGUCAGAUGUGAAAUCCCCGGGCUCAACCUGGGAACUGCAUCUGAUACUGGCAAGCUUGAGUCUCGUAGAGGGGGGUAGAAUUCCAGGUGUAGCGGUGAAAUGCGUAGAGAUCUGGAGGAAUACCGGUGGCGAAGGCGGCCCCCUGGACGAAGACUGACGCUCAGGUGCGAAAGCGUGGGGAGCAAACAGGAUUAGAUACCCUGGUAGUCCACGCCGUAAACGAUGUCGACUUGGAGGUUGUGCCCUUGAGGCGUGGCUUCCGGAGCUAACGCGUUAAGUCGACCGCCUGGGGAGUACGGCCGCAAGGUUAAAACUCAAAUGAAUUGACGGGGGCCCGCACAAGCGGUGGAGCAUGUGGUUUAAUUCGAUGCAACGCGAAGAACCUUACCUGGUCUUGACAUCCACGGAAGUUUUCAGAGAUGAGAAUGUGCCUUCGGGAACCGUGAGACAGGUGCUGCAUGGCUGUCGUCAGCUCGUGUUGUGAAAUGUUGGGUUAAGUCCCGCAACGAGCGCAACCCUUAUCCUUUGUUGCCAGCGGUCCGGCCGGGAACUCAAAGGAGACUGCCAGUGAUAAACUGGAGGAAGGUGGGGAUGACGUCAAGUCAUCAUGGCCCUUACGACCAGGGCUACACACGUGCUACAAUGGCGCAUACAAAGAGAAGCGACCUCGCGAGAGCAAGCGGACCUCAUAAAGUGCGUCGUAGUCCGGAUUGGAGUCUGCAACUCGACUCCAUGAAGUCGGAAUCGCUAGUAAUCGUGGAUCAGAAUGCCACGGUGAAUACGUUCCCGGGCCUUGUACACACCGCCCGUCACACCAUGGGAGUGGGUUGCAAAAGAAGUAGGUAGCUUAACCUUCGGGAGGGCGCUUACCACUUUGUGAUUCAUGACUGGGGUGAAGUCGUAACAAGGUAACCGUAGGGGAACCUGCGGUUGGAUCACCUCCUUACCUUAAAGAAGC
rnacentral:rRNA from 2 species